rnacentral:RNase_P_RNA from 1 species
GGAGUUGGCUAGACAGUCGCUCUGCGCAAGCAGGGAGGAAAGUCCGGGCUUCAUAGGGCAAAGUGCCAGGUAACACCUGGGGGGCGCGAGCCUACAGAUAGUGCAGCAGAAAGAAAACCGCCUAAGUCUCAAGUAGACCGGUAAGGGUGAAACGGUGCGGUAAGAGCGCACCGCAUGUGCGGUAACGUAACAUGGCGAUGGUAAACCUCACUUGAAGCAAGACCAAAUAGAG